rnacentral:rRNA from 1 species
CAAGUCGAACGAUGAAGGAGUCUUCGGACUGCGGAAGAGUGGCGAACGGGUGAGGAACACGUAAGAAUCUGCCCCUCGGUCGGGGACAACUCUUGGAAACGAGAGCUAAUACCCGAUACGCUGUGGAGUGAAAGAAUUUCGCCGAGGGACGAUCUUGCGUCUGAUUAGCUAGUUGGUGUGGUAACUGCACACCAAGGCGACGAUCAGUAGCUGGUCUGAGAGGAUGGACAGCCACAUUGGAACUGAGACACGGUCCAAACUCC